AAUACAUUUAGAGUAAUCAGGUACUCUAAAGUCCUGCCAUUGACUGCAUUGUCGUUGUUGCCGCACAAGCAGGACAAUGUGAAUCCACUCAGAUCAGAGAAGGAAACGUUGAUUGAUAUAAUUGAACAGGAGAACGAUCGUCUUACAGCGAGGAUAGCUGUGCUGCAAGCCCAGCUUCAGACGGAGCCGUUAGGCAAGGGUCAUUUCAGUGUAGGAAAGGAUGAAACAGCGUCUGUGCCACCAGUAAGUACAGAUAGUAACGUUAGUAUAAAUCCCCUCUCACGGUGCCCGCAGCCGGACAACUUUCUCAUGGCUUCUGGAGGGAAAUGCUGUAGGAAUGCUCAACCGGUGUCGCUCAUUCAGCCGAUAGAAACUUUCAACCGGUUCUCCCCAUUAAGCAGCGAGGCCGAGUCUUCUCUGGUCUCUACUCCUCCCGUUACGGGGUCUGAGACGCCGAAGGCUCCCACUGUAGUAGAGUUAAAAUGGUUAUUCCAUCAAACAUCAAAUGAUUAGAAUAGUACAAUAGUAAGCCCACGAACAGGAAUAUUCCAAGUUCAGACAGAAGGGGGGAGUCAGAUCGCUAUGAUCGCCAGGAAUGUUACUUUUGGUCUCUAUUUUUAAUUGUUGCGCUACUGGUGAUGCCUGUUGAUGUUAGGUAGGCAGCUACAGUAGCUGAAUGAUUAACAUCUUCGGGUUGUGUUUCAUUAAAUGUAUUUUAUUUCAUCUGGGUGCCAACGUCACCUACUAACACCCUGGUACUACCCGUAGCUCCCGGAGGAGAAAACACUGAGAAAUGUAUGUGUUGCAGAUUACUCCUUUGUAGAAGUCCAUAACGUGAAAUAAAUAAAACAUCCCAAGGUUAAUGCUGUAGAUAUUGUUAUAAGGAAGUGUGAGACUAUUGAAACACGUAACUUUCAGAGUUUUAUUGUUAUUAAUAUAGUUACAGAGUGCUAAAAGUUUCUAGCUAGCAUGCGUUUCUGUGAUGCAGACGGUUAGCAGAGCUGCCGACUGGUGGUGUUGCAUUAUGGGAGAUGUAGUUUUGGCCCUUUAAGGUUUGAAUGGGAUAAAGGCUAUUUCACGUUGUAACUUGUUUGUGUUGCAGUGUUUUUGUACAUGAGUUGUUGUAUUUUGGUACUGUCAACACUGGAAGCACCUAGCAAUGUAUUGGGGAUGUGAGACAGGAUAUGUGUUUUACCUUUCUUCAUGCUCCUGUGUAGAACAACUUGUCAGGUGGUGCAUUGGAGACUGAUGUGUUCCUGUCCUGUCUUUUCAUAAUACUAUUGCAGAUCAACAUAAAAGCCUAAAAGACAGCCGUGGUGUCGCUCUUCAUUUAAAGGUAAAGUCCCCCCUUAUCUCCGCUCACUGGUCACCAUAGCAGCACCCACCUGUAGCACGCGCUCCAGCAGGUAUAUCUCUCUGGUCACCCCCAAAGCCAAUUCCUCCUUCGGCUGCCUCUCCUUCCAGUUCUCUGCUGCCAAUGACUGGAACGAACUACAAAAAUCUCUGAAACUGGAAACACUUAUCUCCCUCACUAGCUUUAAGCACCAGCUGUCAGAGCAGCUCACAGAUCACCGCAACUGUACAUAGCCCAUCUAUAAUUAGCCCAAACAACUACCCCUUCCCCUACUGUAUUUAUUUAUUUAUUUAUUUUUGCUCCUUUGCACCCCAUUAUUUCUAUUUCUACUUUGCACGUUCUUCCACUACAAAUCUACCAUUCCAGUGUUUUACUUGCUAUAUUGUAUUUACUCUGCCACCAUGGCCUUUUUUUGCCUUUACCUCCCUUAUCUCACCUGAUUUGCUCACAUUGUAUAUAGACUUAUUUUUCUACUGUAUUAUUGACUGUAUGUUUGUUUUACUCCAUGUGUAACUCUGUGUUGUUGUAUGUGUCGAACUGCUUUGCUUUAUCUUGGCCAGGUCGCAGUUGUAAAUGAGAACUUGUUCUCAACUUGCCUACCUGGUUAAAUAAAGGUGAAAUAAAAAUAAAUUAAAAAAAGAAGUUCUUGGUUCUCCUGUGGUACAUAACAGACCCGCUACACCACCAUUAGCUCUGACAAAUUGAAAACCCUGGUCAUUGGCGACUCCAUUACCCGCAGUAUUAGACUUAAAACAAAUCAUCCAGCGAUCAUACACUGUUUACCAGGGGGCACGGCUACCGACGUUAAGGCUAAUCUGAAGAUGGUGCUGGCUAAAGCUAAAACUGGCGAGUGUAGAGAGGAUAGAGAUAUUGUUAUCCACGUCGGCACCAACGAUGUUAGGAUGAAACAGUCAGAGGUCACCAAACGCAACAUAGCUUCAGUGUGUAAAUCAGCUAGAAAGAUGUCGGCAUCGAGUAAUUGUCUCUGGCCCCCUCCCAGUUAGGAGGAGUGAUGAGCUCUACAGAGUCUCACAACUCAAUCGCUGGUUGAAAA
rnacentral:lncRNA from 8 species